AUUAUAUAUGAUGAAUUAAGUUAUCGCCCCAGUCUGAACUAAAAUGUUGAUUGAUAUUUUUCUGAUUAUU
rnacentral:snoRNA from 1 species